rnacentral:rRNA from 1 species
UUCGUAGCUGGUUUGUUAAGUCUCUGGGGAAAUCUUCCGGCUUAACCGGAAGGCAUCUCAGGGAUACUGGCAGACUAGGGACCGGGAGAGGUGAGAGGUACUCCAGGGGUAGGAGUGAAAUCCUGUAAUCCUUGGGGGACCACCUGUGGCGAAGGCGUCUCACCAGAACGGCUCCGACAGUGAGGGACGAAAGCUGGGGGAGCAAACCGGAUUAGAUACCCGGGUAGUCCCAGCUGUAAACGAUGCGCGUUAGGUGUAUCGGUGACCACGAGUCACCGAGGUGCCGAAGAGAAAUCGUGAAACGUGCCGCCUGGGAAGUACGGUCGCAAGGCUGAA